UACGUAGGGGGCAAGCGUUGUCCGGAAUCAUUGGGCGUAAAGCGCGUGUAGGCGGCUUGGUAAGUUCGCUCUGAAAGCCCGGGGCUCAACCCCGGGAGGCGGGUGGAUACUGUCAAGCUCGAGUCCGGAAGAGGCGAGUGGAAUUCCUGGUGUAGCGGUGAAAUGCGCAGAUAUCAGGAGGAACACCAAUGGCGAAGGCAGCUCGCUGGGACGUGACUGACGCUGAGACGCGAAAGCGUGGGGAGCAAACAGG
rnacentral:rRNA from 1 species